GAGGGAGAGGAAAUUGAGGAUAUUGUUUGGAUGCGUGGAAGGAAAAUAAGAAAAGGGUUUUGUGGUAGAAGGAUUAGGAUGGUGGGUGGGCAAGUAUUAGAGUUGAGGGAUGUCUUGAUGAGGAGGGAAGAGAAGAGGAGGGAGAGGGAGUGGAGUAGGGAGAAGGGUAUGUUGGAGAGAGAAGAAAGAAGGAAAAAAAUGGAACUUUGCAGGGAAAGAAGAGACGAUGAAAGGAAUGAGGAUAUAGAGAUGAAAGGAUUGAUGUUGGAAGAAAGACAAAUGAGGUGGGCUAAGAGGGAGUGUGAGAAAAGGUUGAGGUUAGAGAGGGAAUUUGAUGAGGAGAAGAGACAAAGAAUGAAGUUGGAGGAGAAAUGGGAAGAGGAAGAACUGGAGUGGAGGCAGCGUUUGGUGAAUAUGCAGAUUGACCAUGAAAAGCAGAUGAUGCAAAUGCAUGCUGAUGCUUGCCAGAACCAAACAAAUUUGCUUGGUAUCAUGGCUCGGCUGGUCUGUCAAUUUUUUGGCUCGGCAAAUGAUGGAUUAGGGGGUGGUUUGGGGCCGUUGUCAGCACAAGUUUUGCAGAACUUGCAGCACCCAGGGGGCUUGAGUGAUAGUGGGAAGCCAGAUGCUCCUUCACCUUCCGAGUUUUUGUAGACUGUAAUUAGCUCCUAUCUAUUCUGGAGUAUUGAAUAGAAG
rnacentral:misc_RNA from 1 species